GGCCUAUUAGCUCAGUUGGUUAGAGUAUCGUACUAAUAACGCGAAGGUCGCAGGUUGGACCCCUGCAUGGGUCA